rnacentral:rRNA from 1 species
UACGUAGGGGGCAAGCGUUGUCCGGAUUUAUUGGGCGUAAAGAGCUCGUAGGUGGUUUGGUAAGUCGGAUGUGAAAUCUCCAGGCUCAACCUGGAGGGGUCAUUCGAUACUGCCAUACUAGAGGUCGGUAGGGGAGUGUGGAAUUCCUGGUGGAGCGGUGAAAUGCGCAGAUAUCAGGAGGAACACCCGUAGCGAAGGCGGCACUC